AGAAGUCAGUUGGGCAGUUAUCUGUGGAUUCCUGUUGUUGCUUCUCUCCUCAUCCACGCUUUAGUGGGUUGUUGAGAGCUAGUUUGCUGGCACAAACAAACAAACAAAAACAAAUGAUUUAUGGAAACUACUGAGUCAUGCCUUGUCCCAUAGCUGCCUUUCUCCUGCUCUGGGAAGGCUCAGUUACACAGCAAAUUUCUGAAGGGAGAAGUAGCCAUGCUGUGGAAUGUGUUAUUAUAAGAAAACUUUGCUGCUGCUCUGGUGAACCCAGUGAUGCUUGAGUAGCCAAGGUUCUCAUGUACUUUCUUACUUACUGUACUGAGGUAAGCAAAGUGACAGAUCGUUUAGGGCUCUUGGAGAAAUGCUUUGCAAACCUACAAAAUGACUUUUUGUUUUAUUUCAUUUUGUUUUUUGAGACAGAGUCUUGCUCUGUUGCCCAGGCUGGAGUGCAGUGGUAUGGUCUUGGCUCACUGCAGCCUCUGCCUCCCAGGUUCAAGUGAUUCUCCUGCCUCAGCCCCCAGCUAGUUGGGAUUACAGGCACAUGCCACCACACCUGACUAAUUUUUGUAUUUUUAGUAAAGACGGGGUUUCACCAUGUUGGUCAGGCUGGUCUCAAACUCAUGAUCUCAGUUGAUCCGCCCACCUCGGCCUCCCACAUUCAGACUGUACAAAAUCCUGAGGUGAAUGGCAAGAUGGCUGAAUAAGAACAGCUCCAGUCUGCAGCUCCCAGUGAGAUCAAUGCAGAAGGCCUUCAGUACAUCUUUAUUAAUCUGACUGCCUGGUUGCAGUUACAUUUGAGAAUAAGACUGAGAUCAAAUUCCACGUUUAGAGUGAGAAAUGACUGCAGUUGAAGACUUGGUUGCAAGAGUCUAAGAAGACACCUCAGGGAGAGAGACAGGAUCCAAAACAAGAUUGCUGGCUGAGGAAUGGGACAAGUCACCAGCUCAGAAGUCUCAGGACCAGCGACAUCAAGAGCAGGAAGUGGCCAGUGCCUCAACUUCACUCCCCUCUCCCUCCUGGAACAGGCCCUCCAUCACCGUAGAUAAUUCAUGUCACUGAAUGGAACAUAUUCCAAACGCAGUUAUUGUGGAGUUUCAACAAGACCACAUAUGAGAAAGAAAGAGAGAAAAUAUCUGCAUGUGUCAGUGUUCAAAUGACACCAUCAGAGACUGUUGAGAGUAAGACAAGACCUCUCCUUUGUGACCAGUUAACUGAUACUAGACAAGUAUUGUUCUAGCAGGUAAAAUGACUCGAAGAUAUCUUCAAACUUUAUAUUUUUUAAUAACCCCCAUAAUACAGAAUUACCUAUGGAUGUACAUGUUGGAGUACAUUCACGUGAAAGUAUAGAAUCAGACAUUAUUCAGGCAGACUUUCCCUGUUCCAAAUACUCCUUAAUUGAGGAACUACCUUGACUACUAAUUUUAAAUCACAAUAGUUCCAUGCAGAAGGGAGAGCUAAGUUUUGGGUUACAAAAUUUUGAAAACCACCAUAUAGAACCCACCUAAAAUAUCCAACCACCAACUUGCCACUGGCGAUGGCUGAGAAAGCAGAAGGGAGGCAGAUGUGGUUGUUGCCCAGUUGGAAAUGAUGAUACUAAUAAGACUUUAAGUGAAGUAAGCAGAAGGAGUUUGGGGCAUUUGUUAUGCUCUCCUUGAAGCUCUGUUCUGAGUCCUCCCAGACCUGGCUGGAGAUUGAUUUUCCUUCUGUGCUAGAUAUCCUACGUGAAAAUAACCAUGGCAGUAUUAAUAAUAGCACUGUAGCAGCUGUUUGGAAAGUGAGCACCUUCCAUACCUUAACUUUCUAUUUUGCCUGGUAGAUUGCACUCUUUUCCUUUUCACUAGCAGAUAGUUCUCUGAGUACGAAUCUAAAGAGAGGAGAGCCAAGGCUAUCUAUAUUGCCUAUGGUAAGACAGCAUAGUGAGACAUUUCCUUAAAAAUCUGGGAAUGACUGCAAAUGGCAUUGGGAAUACAAUCAUGAGUUGGUUGCCCCUGAUGGUAGUUCUUCAGGUUCAUGCAUAGGAAGCUCCAAGGGAAGGUUGACUCAUUAGAUGCACCAAAGGUUGGCUUACUCUAAAAAUGAACAUGUCAUGAGCAUGCACACAGGGUUAAUAACAUAUAUUGAGCUUUUCCUAUAUGCUAGAUUCUUUUUUACCUUCUUAUUAAAUCCAAACAACAACGUCCCAGUGAAGAUGUUGUUAUCAACAAGAAUAUAAGCAGAAUGAGUAGCAAUUUGGGUUCACUUGUAUACAAUAAACACUUGGCACAUUUGCUUUUCAAAUGAUUUAAUAAAUGUUAACCUUAUGGAUGAAGAAACAGAGUUUUGCAGAGAUUGAAUACUCUGCCAAAUUCCCCCAGCCAGAUAACGCCAGAACAGGGAAACAGGCCUGACGCUAUGGGGAGAUUUUGUUCCCUGCCAGAGGUUCAGCAUACCCAAAUCCCCUCCCUUGUGUGGGCCCUGGUUGGAGUUGGACACAAGAAAAAUUUGCAUGAGAUAUGGAAGGUAGAAGUGAAGCAGCAGCUGUUAUGCUCAGAGGAUGGACAUAUGGAUGCCAGGCACCAUGACAGUGUCAACUUACACGUCAUCACUUAUCUGCUGGUUCACCUCGUUGGUGUGGGGCAAUGGCUGGGUCCACAGCUUCUCUAGUUUUCAGCAGAUCUCUUCCUUUCAGUUCUUUGAGUCCUGAGCCAUGGCAGGAACCUUGUGCAGCUUCACGGCAAAGGACACCAGUCUCUUCUGCAAGUUAUCUAUAUUGUUGAGGUUGGAGGCCAUGAGAUACAGAUGUGGGUUUUAGUUUGUCUUGUCUCUCUGUUCAUGUCCAGCUUGUCUUCCUGAUUGCCAGCCUUCUUGACCUCUAGUGACUUCAAGGCUACUGCCAGAUGCAAAGGCAACAGCCUCCCAUAGGCUUCUUUAUAAGUUCCCACAAUGCUGUCGAGUCUAACCUCUUCAGUAAACCAUUUAUUUCAUAUCACUUGUGGUGGCUGUGCUUCCAUGAUCAAACUUUAGCUGUUAUGGUUUGUCAGACUCCAAAUUUCCAGGAUACUGCACUCACUGGGAGACUAUGAGGGUGAAGGCACGAGCAGGUUUCAGUGGGACUGGAAUCCUCUGGCUUUAGGAAACUGAGUACUUCCUUAAUCAGAUGCUCAGAGAACAAAGCAAGGGGAUAUACAUGAGCAAAACAGAAAAUUGAGAAGUCAUAUCAAUGUUUCAUUUAGCUUAUGAGAUUACAGAGCUAGUAAUUUCAUGGCCAAUUAUAUGUUUAAGAUAGGCCAAAAAUAAGUUGAAAAAAUAUUUCAGUGGCCGUUUGUGGACAAUAUAAAAAUGACAUUUUUCUGAUUUCUCAAUCAGUGCUUUUCAGUAUCUUAGUCACAGCCUACAUUUACAUGCCAAACAUCUGCAUGGAAAGUGAAAAUAUGCUGUUAUAACCUAGAUGAAACAUCUGGAAGAUGAUAUUUUUCUACUUUUUAUUCAUUUGGUGUCACAUAGAUCUAGGCAUCAACACAUAUCUCUUUUCCCUUAACUUUAAAAAAACAUGAUUUUAUUUUUCAGUGCACUUUUUCUGGAAAACAAUUUUGCAAGGUGCAAGGUAUUCAGAUGAAGUGCUGAAAUCUUGGCUGUAGGAAAAGUUAAGCAUAACCAACCAACACUUACUUCAACCCCAACUGCAACACUUCUGAGACUUACCCUUUGCCAUUUAGCACGUUCCUUUUGCUGUCUGCUUGCACACUAUGUACCCUGGGACUUUCCUGGUUUUCUCUGCCUUCUGCUUUUGGGGUAAUAUUGGUUUAACCAAUAUUAAACCAAGAAGUACAACAUUAGAAAGACCCAAUUUUCUUACAUGAAAGCAAGAAGUUUAUUCAACUCAUUGCUUCACUUUAUUUCUAGGGGCCUUUUCUAGGUCCAGAAAGAAGUUGUCCUUAGCCCUAGACUUUCUGUACCUCUACCCACCCUCCCUUCAGUAUGUAUGUACGUUGUCUGUCUUGAGUGAGAUAAUAUGCCCAUGCAGAUACGCUCUUCUUUGUUUUCUAAGCAUUAGGGUUGCUGAUACACAACAAUAUUUUUUCUUGGUAGAAGUAUGUUCCAUGCAAUAUUUGGGAUAUAUUUUAUGCACAAUUACUUGCUGUUUAGCUAAAAUUCAAAUUUAACUGGGCAUCCUGUAUUUUAUUUGCUAAAUCUGUCAACCAUAGUGUAGAUACUUCUCGCAUCCCCAAUCUCCCAAAGCUCCCAUUUUCUAAAUCCUGCACACUGACAAGACUUUCAACAGUAAGUUAACUUCUGGACAGCUUGCCAGACUCUCCUUGAGGAAUGUGUUUGCCUUCUAGCAUUUGGAUGAAUAAUUUAGUUCUGCCACUAAAACAAAACAUGAAUGGGCAUUUGAUGUAAACAUUAUUUUCCUCACUGCUUUGGCUGAAGAGCUGAAGAGUUAGAAAGGUCCUACCGGCAACAUCCACCUUUCUGAAAUGCACUGCUUGCUCACAGACUUAAGGUGUAGCUUGAGCUGUUUCUGGGUUACACAGCUUUUCUUCUAUUUCCGUUUUUUUCUUCUUCAAAGUUUCUAGUCUUCUUUUCUUACAGAAGUAUGACCUCUCUUCAAGUCUCAACCAGGACCAACAUUUGUGCCAUCCAGAUUUUGCGACCCAGAAAUGGCCAUCUGACCAGUCCAUGGAAGGCCUUCCUAGACUGGAGUGUGUAUUCUUAUGACCCAGAUCACAUAAUACUGACAGAGAGGUAUUUGGCAGUAACAUGGGUAAUAAUGGUAAGGAAGGGUAUAUGGACUACGAUUUAUAAAGGCUUUUUGAAAUUAGCUUGAAAAUAACACUUACUGGGAUUUCCCACAUUUUAAAACUAACAUGCUUAUUGUAGAAAAACAUGCAAAACAUACAAAAGCUAAAAGCAAACAUAACAAAACAAUCACUCACAAAUUCACAUCUUGAGAUAUUCACUGUUGUUAUUUUUGGUGUAUAUUUAUAAUAUUUUUCUAUAAAUUUAUUUGUUGUUUCAAAAAAGUACCAUAUAACACAGAAAUACACAGCAACUUUUUUUUGUGAUUUAGCAAUGGAUUUUGAACAUUUUUUUCUGUGCAGAGUACAUGUGUAUGUCAAUAAUUCUCAAUAUUUUUUGGGUUGCAGAUCUUAUUUAAGAAAGUAAAGCUGCUUCUUUCACGAAAACAACUAUACAGGUACCUAGAGGAUUUGGGUACAAUUUCAGAUCAUUAAAAUACAUCUGUAGAUCCUAAAGAUAAAGAAGUCCUGUUCUAAAGUAUCACAACUAAUUUGAAUGACUGACAUGGGAUAUUUUGAGGCUUCCAGUAAGAAUUUAUUUUAUAUAAGCUAAAUAGGCAAUUAGACAUUUGCUACAUUGGGACCUCAUAUUAUAAGAUUUUGCUUUUUUUUUUUCUUGGAAUUCAGGUUUUUAGGGUAGUGGUCCCCAACUUUUUUGGCAGCAGGGACUGGUUCAUGGAAGACAAUUUUUCUGCUGAGCAGGGGUGGGAGGUGGGCAGGGUUGGGUGAUGGUUUCGGGAUGAAACUGUUUCACCUCAGAUCAUCAGGCAUUAGAUUCUCAUAAGGAGCACACAACCUAGAUCCUUUGCAUAUGCAGUUCACAGUGGCAUUUCUGCUUCUUUGAGAAUUUAAUGCUGCUGCUGAUCUGACAGGAGGUGGAGCUCAGGUGGUAAUGCUCACUUCCCCGCCAUUCACCUGCUGCUGUGCAACCCUGUUCCUAAUAGGCCACAGACCAGUACAUGUCCACAGCCCAGGGGCAUGGCAAGAGGAGACAUUAGCAAAUAUGCAGAUUGUCCUGUUUACAUGUCAGCUCUGAAGACUGUUGAGUUGAUGGGUCUUCCCUUGGUUGCAAGCCAACAGCAGUCAGAAGCAAGAAACCUUGUCUAGAUUUCACAAUAACCUUGUCACAAGUCUCACGUUUCCUGUAGGAAAGCUGAAUUUACCAGCACACUCACUGUGAGUAAAACUGUAACUCUGCUCUGAGCAGAAGGCUUGUGCUGAGGAUAAAAACAAAUUCUCAGUGGAAAUACAAAAUUGAUCUAUUAAUUCCUGGAUGCUAAAGACAAUGAUUUUUUCCUGUCUGGUGGCUGUUUUUCUUUUGUAUGUAACUUUCAGUUUAUUUCCGUAGUUAGGAAAGAGAUAAAGCAACUUGAGAAAGCAUAGGAAGGUGUAGUCCCCUGAAAUCUAAAUGAAGCCUGUUUGGUCUUGCAGUUUCCUGUGCAGGUCUGGCCUGGGGCAGGACUAUAUGGGCAUCUGCAGCCCACACAAUGUAGGAAAAAGACUGGUAGAAUAUUAUCAUUAACUAAAGUAACUAUAGAUGUUCAUUACUGAGCACUUAUUGUACAAUGGCCAUUGGGCUAGGUGCUCUACCUAAAUUACAUUAAAUUCUCACCACUCUAAAAAGUAGGUAUCAUUUUUCUUUUAUGUGGAAGGGGCUGUGCCACUGAAUGGGUAAGAGCACAGACUCUGGCUUUCCACAAUCUCGAUUCAUACAUAUUGGCCUUGUGACCUUGAGAAAGUUACUUAGUCUCCUUGUGCGGCAUUUCUUUCAUCUGUAAAAUGGGGCUAAAACACAAAUUUGAAUCCAGGUCAGAGUUUCUUUUUUAAAUUUAUUUUUUAAUAAAAAAUUUUAAUGAGAUGUAAUUCACAUAUAUUAAAAUUUGCCCAUUUAAAGUGUACAAUACCAUGUUUUUAUUUUUCAUUUUUAAAUUUUAAUUUUUAUUCUUCCAACCUUUUUUUUUUUUUUUUUUUUCUGAGACAAGGUCUCACUCUGUUACCCAGGCUGGAGUGCACUGGGGCGAUCUCGGCUUACUGCAACCUCGGCUCACUGCAACCUCUGCCUCCCGGGCUCAAGUGAUUCUCUUGCUUCAGCCUUCUAAGUAGCUGGAAUUAACAGGCAUGUGCCACCACGCCUGGCUAAUUUUUUGUAUUUUUAGUAGAGACAGAGUUUCACGAUGUUGGCCAGGCUGGUCUUGAGCUCCUGGCCUCAAGUGAUCUGGCCACCUUUGCCUCCCAAAGUGCUGGAAUUAUGGGCGUGAGACACUGCGCCUGGCCUUUCCCACCUUCCACCCUCAAGUGGGCCCCAGUGUCUAUUGCUCCCCUCUAUGUGUCCAUCUGUACUCAAUGUUUAGCUCCCACUUAUGUGGUCAGUGUUUAGCUCCCACUUUAGAACAUGCGGUAUUUGGUUGUCUGUUCCUGAAUCAAUUUGUUUAGGAUAAUGUCAGCCAGGGUUUCUACCCAGGAAAGCCUACUGCCUGAUUCAGUCCUUAGCUAAAUUGUAAAGAUCCCUUUGAUUCCUCCCUCCAGCCCUCCUUUCUCACUACAGCACCCUCUCUCCCUAUCUCCACUAACAAGAUCUUUCCUUCCCUCUCCUUCUUCUCUUCAUAACUUCGCUUGCAACUUCCGGUUUCCAGGCUACAGAAUGCCAGCUUUCACAAGUGUGAGGACUGCUAUGAAAGAGAGGCACAUGCAUAGCAAGGGCAUUUUUAGACCUCCAAAGCCUCAGGAACACAGGAAGUAAUUCUCUAAUAAAUAGAUAUCUGGAAUUGUAACUGGUUGAAGGAAAUACUUGGUGCCAAAUUCCUAUUUAGUGCUCCUCAAAACACACGAUGAUGGAAAGUGGCCUCCUCCUUUUUCUAAAUUAAUUGGGCUUUGAUAUGGGUCUGGAAGAAACUCAUGAGCUGCAGUCUUUCAUUCAGGAACUUAAUAACUUUUGGCCAUAGUUGGAAUGACUUGUCAUGUUUGGGUCCAGCCAAUAGGGAACACAGGUCACAUCUUUCCCUGCAUAAGCCCACAGCCACCCAUGCUGUGGGUAGCUGUCCCUUUCCUUUCCCUUCAUAAAGUGGAUAGGAGGCGAAUAAGGCUGAAUAGUAAUUAUAAACAUCUGGUGGUUACUUUAUGAUUAGGUCAUGUUAAAGAUUUUGGGAAGCCUUCCAUCAGUCUCAGUUAAUAUCUUUCCAAUUAUGUUUACAUUGACAUUUACCCUGGGCCCUGUAACUUCUCAUUAUGCCUUCUGGAGUUAUCCCAUACGCUCUGGGCGUGGUGAGAAGUUCACCAGGGAGGCAAGGAUUACUGCUGCUACUGCUUGAUCAAGGGGAAAGGCAGCCAGCAGUUCCAAGGAGCCAGGAAGGGACUGCCCAGACAUGAAGAAAGAUAAUGUGGUUACUAUUUUGUCAUAUACUUUGGCUUUAUUUUACCUGAAAGUUCAAUGACCAAGAUACUAGAAAAAGUCUUCAUAGCACUGAGGGGCUGUUUCUGAAUUAGAGACACAACUGAUAGUUGGAAGCCUGUUGUUUGUGAGAAAGAAUUGUUUGACUAGCAACACACCUAGCCUCUCUGCAUUAAUCUCCCAAAUGAAAUUCAGAACAGGUAUUGGAAGCCUAGACAUGAAAUGAAAGAAAAAUGUAUGAACUAAGUACACUGAUUGCAUUCAUUCAGCAGGUGUUUUCUUGUUGUCUGAGCAACUUCUAUAUAUUUAGCUCACUGCAUAACAAGGUGCAGAUACAGUGGUAUAUAAGACAUUGUCAGCUGGGCACGGUGGCUCAGGCCUGUAAUCCCAGCACUUUGGGAGGCCGAGGUGGGCAGAUCACUUGAGGUCAGGAGUUCAAGACCAGCCUGACCGACACGGUAAAACCCCAUCUCUACUAAAAAAAAAAAAUACAUAAACAAAGCCGGGCGUGGUGGCAUAUGCCAGUAAUCCCACCUACUUGGGAGGCUGAGGCAGGAGAAUCAGUUAAACCCGGGAGGCAGAGGUUUCAGUGAGCCGAGAUGGUGCCACUGCACUCCAGCCUGGGCAACAGAGUGAGACUCCGUCUCAAAAAAAAAAAAAAAAGACAUUGUCUCCUUUCUCUAAAGCCAUAUGGUUUAGUUGGGUGGUAAGGUAGAUGAUAAAAUAUUUACAUAAAAUUAUAAGUAUAGAAAAUGAAGCAUAUACUCUAAGUAAUACACAAAAAUGUCUCCUGAUAAGCCUUUUAUUUUGUGUUUGGUGUAAUUUUUUAAAGUGACAUGUUCAUGUUUUUGAAUAAAUUUUACUUACGUCUUUGUGUUUUUAUGUACUUUCCAGUGGAAAAUUAUUAAAAAUGUUUUCCCAGCAAAUCAACACAAUUUAAUAGUAAAUAGCAAUAUUAGCAGCAUUCCAUCUAGUGCAAAAUAGGUCUUUCAAGCACAGUGGCCAAUGACCGUGGAGAAGUCUCCCAGGAAGGUUCUGGAACAGGUUCUUACAGGAAGGGCAGCCGAGAACAUCAAUGAUUAAAAGGGGGCUGAGAAGAGGAAACUGAUGGACAAAGAGGUGAGAAGUGGGAGAAAGAACGAAAAUCUGGAGGUUGGAGGAUAAACAAACCCACAUCCUUGUGGAUGAAGAAGGAUACCAAAAACUCAUUUUCCUGGAAGGAGCAAUUUUUGAAAUCAGCUACACUGAGGGCACUUUCGUGGCUGCCAGACUAAAGAUUAAUGGAGCACAACUCCAAAGGGUGCCAACAGGAAGCAACUAUACCCCCAAACAUGUCAUCACCCCCUGCCUAUUUCAACCUGUCCUGGAGCUAGUUUAAUGUGCCAGCUCCCAUGGUUUUUCCAGUCAUUCUGCGGUAGAAGGAGACCGCAGCUGCAGAUUGAGUGAAGGUCUUUUCCAUGUGAAUUUGUCCUGCAUCUGGGAUAAAGGUAUAAUGAUUACCUAAAGCAUGUUCUGUUCAUGGAAGAUCACUGGAACACAAAAGACCAAGCUCACAGCAUAUUCAAGACAUCUGCUCGUAUUCCACUGGCCAAAGAAAGUGAUGUGGCCCAGCCUAAAGUCAGGAACAGGAGCAGGAGGCUUUGACAACUGAGAUCUUCGAUCAUGAGUGUUGUGAAUGCAGACGGGGUUUUGUACUCCAGGCACUGUGCUAGGCACCAGGACUAUAAUACAACUUGUGAUCUGUAGAGGAGUCAGACAAUUAUCCAGGCAUCCCAAAGAAAUGUCAAUUGCAAACAAACACCACCCAACACGCCUCAUGUAUAUCAUUUUAAGCUACAGAAAUAUGGAAUCUUCAGUGAAGUUUACCUUUGGGGCCACUCCCACCUUAACCUGGCCUGGAUCCCUUUUUCCCUGGAGGCUGUUCUGAAGAUGGCACCCUACCUGCUCACCUUUUAGUGUACCUGGGCACCCAUGCCUCCAUAUGGUGACCCUCAAAUCAUACUGUAUGAAGAGCAGCUGUUUUGUCAACUAUUUUUUAAUGAGAUUUUUUUUGCUUUGGUUUAAAAAAUAGCAUAUAUUUGCGUUAGAAAAUUAGAAAUACAGAAGAAACAGAAAUAUAAAAGAAUUACCUAUAACAUGCAAAAAUGACUAGUACAAAUGUUUUUGUUUUUUUACAGUAUGUGAACAUAUUGUAUGUUUAUAUUAAUAUCCAUAGUAUUUAUUUUUGCCUACAUGUUUUACUUAACAUAUGUAGUAAGCAUUUCCCAUGUUAGUCAAAUUAUUUGUGGACAUUAUUUUUAAUGACUAUUAAUGUUAUUACUCUACAGCUUGCCGAAUAAGUCUCCUAUUAUAUGUCAUUUUGGGUCCUAGCAACAUUUUUGUGUUUAAAUCCUUGUAGCAGUUUUGACUGAUUUCCUUAAGAUAGAGUCCAAGAAGAGAAAUAAUUUGCUUGUUUGUUUAUCAUUUGGUACUUUCUUUUAUGGUAAUGUCCUUGGGGCUGAUAAUUCAGAACCAUGAAUAGAUAUGAUUCUUGUCUUUGAGGAGAUUGUAGCCUUGUGCUAGGUUAAAGAAUAGGCACGUUUUAAAGUUCUCGAUACACAUUUUCAAAGUGCUUUUCAAAAAUUUGUAUCAAUUCAUCCUUCUACUAUAAGGGAAAAUCUGUUCUGGGUUGUUUUUCUGGUAUAUCUUCCUAUUAAGAACCUGUUCUCCCUCCUGCUUUGUGACUCACAUGGAGUUGCCACUGCAUGCUAUCAUCUCCAUCCCUUAGAGCAACCUAUUAGAGAACUUACUCUCUGGAGUCCCAAAAGAGAAACAACAGCAACAACUCAGCAAUUCAUCUGGGGUCAGCGUGUUACCCAGUCUGGGCCAUUGGAGAUUUUUUUAAAGGGAAGUUUCUCCUAUUUUCUUCAAAAUUCUGAGCUGUGAAGAGGACCACUAGAAAGUUCAAUCUAUUUAUGAUUUUUUAAAAAACUGUUAUUAUAUAUAUUUAAGUGUAUGUCAUGUUUCCACACAUAUAUACAUAGUGAAAUGAUCACUGUAAUCAAGCUAAUUAGAAUAUCCCCCAUCUCGCAUAGUCACCUUUGUGUGUGAAAAGGGUUCAGUGCUUCCCUCUCCACUCUUCAUCUCCCCUUUAAAAAAGCAGAGAUGAAUGGAGAGGGAAAGGUUGAACAAUGGUUAUGUGGUGGGACUGCUGGGAUUCACCUGAGAGUUAAAACCAGCUAGUUCUACCCGUAUGUUUUUCACUUAGAUAAGCCAACAAAUUAAUUUCUUUUCCUCUAUUCUUCUUGUCUUCUUUCCUGCCUCUUUACCUGUCUCCCUUCCUUCCUCUCUUCCCACUCUCUUUCUUUCCUUAUUUAAAUUGGUUUGAAUUGAGUUUCUGACACUAAUGGAGAGUCCUUAUUGUGCCUUCACGUUAUUUUUAUCAAACCAGAAAAUGUUAAUGACAUAAAACAAUUACUGUUUGGACAAGGAAAAUUGUAUUUCUUUCCUUGAAAUUUCUACACACAUACACAUUUGUGCUUGUUAGUGAGGCUAAGCAUUUUCCCCCUUAUUUGUGAAUUAUAUAUUCAAUGUUUUGAUCCAUUUAUCAAAUAAAUUCCUUAGUUUAAAAAAUAUUUGCAGGUGCGGUUAUUAUGGAAAGCAGCAUGAAGUUUCCUCUAAAUAUUAAAAAUAGAAUCACCACAUGACUCAGCAAUCCCUCCUCUCUAUAUAUUUUUAAAGGAAAUGAAAUCAGCACUUCAUGGAACUAUCUCCACUCCCGGCUGGGCGCAGUGGCUCACGCCUGUAAUCCCAGCACUUUGGAAGGCCAAGGCAGGUGGAUCACGAGGUCAAGAGAUGGAGACCAUCCUGGCCGACAUGGUGAAACCCUGCCUCUACUAAAAAUACAAAAAUUAGCUGGGCGGGGAGGCACAUGCCUGUAAUCCCAGCCACUCGGGAGGCUGAGACAGGAGAAUCGCUUCAACCUGGGAGGCGGAGGUUGCAGUGGCUGAGAUCGCACCACUGCAGUCCAACCUGGUGACAGAGGGAGACUCCAUCAAAAAAAAAAAAAAGAAAAAAAGAAAUAUCUCCACUCUUAUAGUCAUUGAAGCAUAAUUAACAAUAACCAAGCUAUGAAAUCAAUGUAAGUGCCCAUCAAUGGAUGAGUGGAUAAAGAAAAUGUUACACACACACACACACACACACACACACACACACAGUGGAAUUUCAUGUAGCCUUAAAAAAGAAGACGAUUUUGUUAUUUAUAACAUGCCUGAAUGUGGAGGACAUUAGGUUAAGUGAAAUAAGCCAGAAAGAAAAAUACUGCAUGAUCUUACUUAUAUGUGGAAUCUAAAAACGUCAAGUACAAAAAAGCAAAAAGUAGAAUAGUGGUUGCUGGGAUCUGGGGCUGAGAUUAUGAUGGGCAAAUGGGAAGAAAUUGAGUGCAGAGUUUUGAUUAGGAUCAAUAAGUCUAGAGAGCAAAUGUACAGCAUGAAGACUAUAGUUACUACUGGGUUGUAUACUGGAAAUUUGCUAAGAAAGUAGGUUGUAGGUCCUCUUACCAUACACACAUAUACAGGUAACUAUGCGAGAUGAUGGAUAUUCUAAUUAGAUUGACUGUAGUAAUCAUUUCACUAUGUAUGUGUAUGAAAACAUGACAUACACCUUAAAUAUAUAUAAUAACAUUAAAAAAACCCAAAAUCUUGAAAAGAUUAUUAAGCUUUCCAAUGCCCAAGAAAAGGAAGAAAAGAAAAAGAAACUGCCACAGCUUAUUUUAAAAAUAAAAGUGGGCUCUCUUUUUAAAAUAUUAAUUUUAUAGUACCUUAUCUGGUAACCAAAAUAUUUUUAAAUAUUCUGAUGCUAUUAUAGUAUAAUCAUUCUUUAAUAAUUUUGUAGAUUUCACUUUACUGAACAAAGCCCUAAACAAAAACAUUGAAUAUGACAAAAACUUGCAUAAGUUUAUUUCAUACUGAAGACAUAUAUGCUAUAGAUUUGUAGAAAUACUUCCCACUUGGUUACUUGCUUAUGUUAUGAGUUUUUACCUACAGAAACUUGCUUUUUUUCUUGUAAAAUUUAGAUUAAUUUCUUUGGUAUGUUUUCCUACUGCUUUAAAACUUCAGAAUUCCUUUUUUCAUAGAACUUUUCUAUUUUCACUUAGAAACAUUCAGAACUUAUGUUAGUGUGUGAUUUGAGGUGGUUUUUGUGUUGACUUUGUUUCCUACCUUGUUAGCUAUUUUUUCUAUGCCAUUGUGGAAUAAUUUGUUAAUUUUCAGUGGAUUCAUAAUGCCUUUAAAAAAUAAGGUUGUGUUCUCAGAGGUGAUAAAUUUUAUUUAUUUAUGAUGCUCCAUCUAUGUUAAGGCUAUUUGUAAGUCUAUGUGUAUGGUAGGAUUUUAGUUCUACACUGCAUCUUACACAGGUUAGUAAAAUAUAGCACAUUUAUUAAUUAUUUAGAGUAUAGGAUUACGUAUUGAUAAGUACAAGCUAUUGAGCCUUCCCAUGUCCUAGGCACUUUGCUGAAUUUUAAUCCUUAUCACAACUCAAUGGGAUAGAUACUGUUGUCAUCUUUUGUAGACAUGGGUUUAUUAUAGCUAUUUUAAAAUGAGUUAGCAAAUUCAAAUUUCAAAAAUUCUAUUUUUAUUUCUAAUAUGGUAAAUAUUGAUAAAUAAAAUUUAUAUAAACAAAUAUUUUGAUGUACUCAGUAACCCAUAAGGGUAUAUAAGAGCCCUGAAAUGAAAAAGUUUGAGAACUGCUUAUAAGCCCUAUAUAAUUAUUAGGUAUUAAUAUCAUUAUUAAUUUUUGAAUCUAUAUUCAAAUAUAGUUAUCAUAAAAUGAACUUCAUAUAUGUAAGUGUAUACUUUGAUGUGUUUUGACAUAUGUAUAUUAUAAUGAAGCCAUCAUCAUAAUUAAGAUAAUAAACAUAUCCAUCACUCUCAGAGUUUCCUAAUGCCUCUUUGUUAUUCAUCUCUCUCUCUCCAGGGUCCCCAAAUUGAGGUAACCACUGAUCUUCUUUCCAUCAAUAUAGAGUAGAUGGCACUUUCUAGAAUUUGAUAUAAAUGGAAUCUACACUCUGUUGUGACUAUAUUUAU
rnacentral:lncRNA from 1 species